rnacentral:tRNA from 1 species
GGGCGGGUGGCGGAAUUGGUAGACGCGCUGGCUUCAGGUGUCAGUGUUCGUAAGAACGUGGGGGUUCGAGUCCCCCCUCGCCCA